GAUGAAGAACGUAGUGAAAUGCGAUACUUGGUGUGAAUUGCAGAAUCCCGUGAACCAUCGAGUCUUUGAACGCAAGUUGCGCCCGAAGCCAUUAGGCCGAGGGCACGCCUGCCUGGGCGUCACACGUCGUUGCCCCCCCAUCUACUCCUUCGGGAUUGCGGGGGGCGGAUGAUGGCCUCUCGUGCGCCUCGUCGCGCGGUUGGCCUAAAUGCCAAGUCCUCGGCGACGCACGCCACGACAAUCGGUGGUUGCGAAACCUCGGUUGCCCGUCGUGUGCGGUCGUCGCGCAUCGAGGGCUCGAAAAAAUUGCCGGGCUCCGGCUCGGCUUUCAACGCGACCCCAGGUCAGGCGGGGUUACCCGCUGAAUUUAAGCAUAUCAAUAAGCGGAGGA
rnacentral:misc_RNA from 1 species